AACGAACGCUGGCGGCAUGCCUAAUACAUGCAAGUCGAACGCGAACGGGCUUCGGCCCAAGUAGAGUGGCGGACGGGUGAGUAAUGCGUGGGAAUCUACCCUCGAGCGGGGGACAACCCGGGGAAACCCGGGCUAAUACCGCAUACGUCCUACGGGAGAAAGCGGGCCUCUACACUAUGCUCGCACUCGAGGAUGAGCCCACGUCCGAUUAGCUAGUUGGUAGGGUAACGGCCUACCAAGGCCACGAUCGGUAGCUGGUCUGAGAGGAUGAUCAGCCACACUGGGACUGAGACACGGCCCCAGACUCCUACGGGAGCAGCAGUGGGGAAUAUUGGACAAUGGCGCAAGCCUGAUCCAGCAAUGCCGCGUGUGUGAAGAAGGCCUGC
rnacentral:rRNA from 1 species